rnacentral:rRNA from 1 species
UACAGAGGGGGCAAGCGUAGUUCGGAAUUACUGGGCGUAAAGGGCGCGUAGGCGGCCUGCUAAGUCGAACGUGAAAUCCCUGGGCUCAACCCAGGAACUGCGUCCGAUACUGGUUGGCUUGAAUCCGGGAGAGGGACGUGGAAUUCCAGGUGUAGCGGUGAAAUGCGCAGAUAUCAGGAGGAACACCGGUGGCGAAGGCGGCGGUCUGGGCCGGCACUGACGCUGAGGAGCGAAAGCGUGGGGAGCGAACAGG